GCCCGCCUAGCUCAAUCGGAUAGAGCGUCAGACUUUUACGCACGUCUGCCUCUUUGCUAGGUGUGAUCUGAAGGCUGCGGGUUCGACCCCCGCGGUGGGCU